GGGAAACCAGAGCCCGAGAGCGCAGGCACCGCGCGGUCCUCUGAGUGAAGAGCUAAGCGGCAGUGGACAGAAUAAACAUAUGGGAUCAACCUGAAAAUCAGACAAGGUCACUGUUCCAUUUCUCAGAUGAAUGAUAACAUCUCUAACACCUCGACAAUCCUGCAGGACCACACUGGAGUAAUAGCCUACAUUUUCAUUUCAACCUGGAUUGGGACUUGGGCCACAACCUAUGAAAGCAGAGAUGGGACAGAGACACAGCUGACAUUUUUAUGCAUGAUAUCUUCCUAAUUAGCCUUCUACCUCUAAGAAUGGAAUGGAUGAAAGACUAUCUCGUUUCAUUUCAAUUGUGGAUACGAGGGAGAUUGUCAAACCCAGUCUACCAUUGCUUCCACUUGGUAUGAGCAUUCCACUUAGUUUUCUCUCUGUUGCUUUUACUGAAACAGUGAAGGUUCUUAAUACCAACAUUAAAUCUGAGAGAUCUUGACAGUGGUGCCGAGCAUGGCAGCAAAGAGGCACCGAAUGAGGCUAGUAAGUUUCUAGCUGCAAAUUUACUGUUUCCUCUGGCAUCCCAGGCUGAUCAGUGUGAUGUACCAGUAGAAAAGCAGUUGAAUUAGUUGGGGGUGUCAACAAUAAUGCUUUGCUGGCUUCAGUCUCUCCCAGACUCUGAAAACAUAAAGCUGAAAAUCAAUUAGGUUUUCACUUUCUGUUCACUAUUUUAUGAUUCCUGCUCAAAGACGUACAAAAACAAACAUCAACCAAAGACAUGAAUGGACUUGGCUGUGAUUCCAUAAUUGAAUAGAUUUGGGGCUGGUAACCACUGUGGAACAUCACACUAGCGCAUAUGCUUGUCAUCAGGGCAGGAGCAGAAUAGAUUGAAGGACAAGCCGAAAUUAUAUUUUCUUGCAAAACCAAUUUAUUGCAAUUACAUUGAAAUAUCUACAGAUGUUAUUAAACAGUGGAAGAACUGUUUCAAAGGGCAGUGAAACAUAUGUUGAUGAGCAGCAACAAUGCUUGUCUUAAGUAAUAAAUCUUCCACCACAUGUGAUUCAUUCAUUCCUUUCAAGGAGUUUACCAGAACUGUUAAAAAAACAAGCAUGAGAAACCAGCCUGGAAGCAACACCCCCUGCUGCCUUGUCUUUUUUGGACCUCCAGGACAUGUCCCACCCAAGUGAGCAGGAGACUGGCUGAAGUUCAGGGAAGAGCCUGACUGGAAAGGAGUGAGGCAAAGAUGACCUAUAAAAAGAAAAAUAUCAAUCAUCAGCUGCACAACAGAUUAAGCUGGACGUAGUUUCAAACUCAGUGGGAAUGCACAUCCUACAUAGCAUCUCAUGGGUCAUCCUCCACAGUCAAGAAAGCUCACCAACGCCUCCAUUUUCUGUGGAAGCUAAAGAGAACUGGACUACGCACAACAUGAUCUUCUACAGAUACGCGGUUGAAAAGAUCCUAACGUGCCUCACCACAGUACGGUAUGGAAUCCGCACUGAGAUGGACGGAGGGACCCUACAAUGGAUAGUUAAAACUGCCUCAUGUCUUACCAGCCCCAACCUAUCUGCCAUUGUGGACACAUAUGCAGAAAGGUGUCAGAGAAAAGCCAGCAAUAUCAUGACGCAUUCUGCCCACCCUACUCAAGGACUGUUUAUCUCACUCCCAUCAGGGAAGAAAUUAGGCAGCAUCUAUGCCAGUACCACUAGACUCAAACACAGUUACUUUGCUCAGGUUGAUAGGUUGAUUAACCCACCCCACCACCACUAUUUUAUCAUUUGCAGUCAGUCACCUUAUGCACAAAUACUCCUGCAUUUAGUGUUAGUUUAUGUACAUACAAUCAGUCUAUGUACAUAAGCUAAUCUUGUGUACUUAUAAUUACUGCAAUUUUAUUUUGUACUUUAUGCUUAUUUUUUUAUUCU